rnacentral:rRNA from 1 species
CACNGGAUAACCCGUUGAAAGACGGCCUAAUACCGUAUGACGUCGUUUGCCGACAUCGAAAGACGACCAAAGGUUUGGCGGUGAUGGAUGGGGAUGCGUCUGAUUAGCUUGUUGGCGGGGUAACGGCCCACCAAGGCUACGAUCAGUAGGGGUUCUGAGAGGAAGGUCCCCCACAUUGGAACUGAGACACGGUCCAAACUCCUACGGGAGGCAGCAGUC